UAGUCCACACGGUAAACGAUGGAUACUCGCUGUUGGCGAUAUACAGUCAGCGGCUUAGCGAAAGCGUUAAGUAUCCCACCUGGGGAGUACGCCGGCAACGGUGAAACUCAAAGGAAUUGACGGGGGCCCGCACAAGCGGAGGAACAUGUGGUUUAAUUCGAUGAUACGCGAGGAACCUUACCCGGGCUUAAAUUGCACUGGACUUUCCCGGAAACGGGAUUUUCUUCGGACCAGUGUGA
rnacentral:rRNA from 1 species